GACGAACGCUGGCGGCGUGCCUAAUACAUGCAAGUUGAGCGAUGAAGAUUGGUGCUUGCACCAAUUUGAAGAGCAGCGAACGGGUGAGUAACGCGUGGGGAAUCUGCCUUUGAGCGGGGGACAACAUUUGGAAACGAAUGCUAAUACCGCAUAACAACUUUAAACAUAAGUUUUAAGUUUGAAAGAUGCAAUUGCAUCACUCAAAGAUGAUCCCGCGUUGUAUUAGCUAGUUGGUGAGGUAAAGGCUCACCAAGGCGAUGAUACAUAGCCGACCUGAGAGGGUGGUCGGCCAGAUGGGGACUGAGACACGGCCCAAACUCCUACUGGAGGCCGCAGUAGGGAUGCUUCGGCAAUGGACGAAAGUCUGGCCGAGCAACGCAGCGUGAGGGAAGACGAUUUUCGGAUCGUAAAGCACUGUUGGUGGAGAAGAACGUUGGUGGGAGUGGAGAGCUCAUGGAGGGACGGUAACUACCCAGAAAGGGAAGGCUAACUACUUG
rnacentral:rRNA from 1 species